UUUAUAAGAGAAGGAACGGUAAAGAAACCGUGUAUUAUAUUAUUGUUCCGGGUUCUUCUCCGGGGGUUAUUCCGGGUUGUUCCGGAGUUUUGUUCUGCCCAGAUUUCGAAAACGGCCUGUUUACAACCGGGACAGCCGGAUUAUGUACACAUGAUCCGAUUAUGUUUUUUUUGCACUGGUUAUGUAGUGGUGACCGGAUUAUGAACGCUGAUAUAAUGGCUGGCCAGGCAGGCUGUGAUUGGCAUUUUCUUCGAACUUUUGUGAAUUAAACAUUCUCUGGAAGAUAGAACACCCCUAAAAACUAGAGAUGGCGGAAGAAAAACUUCUCGACGUAAUUCUUAGUUUAAAACUAAUCUUGUAGUAAAUACAUUUCAGCAUAAUAUACUUUGAAGUAACUAAAUUUCACGGAACCUAAAUUAUUCUUUUUGCGGGAAUUAAGUUUGGUGAAAAGUUAUUAAACUUGCGAAUCCCAAAAUUUAGUAUUUGCCGCGAAAUUUCGUUUCAUUUGAGAGCAACAACAACUUUGCCACCAGGGCUAUUCGCUUUCAGAAGUGAUGACGAAUGAUAUAAAAGCGGUCGGCCCCGAUUAUAUUUGUUCUAUAAGUCCGGAAUAAUAUUUGACUGUGUCAUACAUAAGUCGGCCUGCCUCGAUUAUGUUCGUUCUAUAAUAAAUGAGAAAUAAUAUUACACUGUCGUAUAUAAACUGGCCUGCCCUGAUUAUAUGUCCCUUUUAUAAGUGCCAAAUAAUAUUUUUUGAGUAAUAAGUUGGCCUGUCCUGAUUAUGUUGCCCUGAUUAUGUAUUUUCUGCCCUGUUCUUAACCGGUGCAAGCUGCCGUACUUAAUCAGGCCAAUGUUCAUUAUCCGGGCAGAACAGUUUUGUGUUAAGCAUGUUACAACAAGCCAACCUUUAAGAAACACAAAUAUGGCAGCGUAAAAACCAUGCGGAAAUUUGGAAUAACUUUCUUUGAGGAGGGGCCAUGGCUUCGAUGGGGAGUCCUUGAGUAUUUAAUACUCUCUUUGAGCAACACUCAAUCAGGCACAUUUCGUCAAGGAUGCGGCAUGUUUAUUAAGAAGGAUGGUAAACAUUUAUACGUAAAAGAAAUGAGUGAAGAACAUUGUCAUGAAAUUAACGAAGAAAGCUACAAAUACCUGCGACAUACACAUAAAGCUAAGUGAGGAAAAAAAGUGAAGUUGGAAAUUUGUUGAAGUUAAAAUGUAACAAAAAGCUACUUCAACAGAAAAUUGAGAAAGAAACUGGGAAGAAAUGUACUUUGCGAGAUCUAUCCAAUUAUAAGGCAGCGGCAGAGAAACAAUCACCACGGAACAACCUAGAAAGCCUUGUAAAUAAAUUGGAGCAGCAAUCAGGUACAGCUACUAUAUAUACGAAUAUCAUAUUAAGCGCCUGCUAAUUUUUUAUCAUGACACAACCUAAAGUUCUCUUGAUUAUUUCAAACAUUUCAUCUGGUGUUGUGGUUGACAUACUCACCAACCAACAAAACAACUUGCUUGGAAUAUUUUAUUAAGAUGGUGAUAUGAAACGUGAGUUAUAAAACUUUUAUGGUCCAUACAAAAAUACAUUUCGCAGUUCUUAAACUUUUUCAACUGUCUUUUAAAUGCAUUUUCAUCUUAUCCCGAUUUUUUAAUGGUAGAUGCAACACACAGACUAAACAACUUGCAAAUGCCGUUAUACUUGUUCUUGGUGGAAGACGGAAACGAUGAAAGUGAAUUGGUUGUUUAAUUGCUUUGGGUUCCAGAAUAAUAACACAAAUUGAUAGAAACAAUGUAUUUCUGUUGGAAUGAGUAGAUACAACACAUUCAGUAUGCGUAGACUAUUUAUGAAAUUUUUGGGGAAUGGGUAGGAAUGAAGGUGCCUCCUUCGUGCUCCGUCAUAUGCACAAAUAUAUAAUGCAUAACCUGAGCGUCAGGUUAUGCGUUAUAGGCGUUUUCAUGUCUGAGCGUCAGGUGCAUGAGACAGAUGAGAUGCACUGAGCGUCAGAUGCAUCGACAUGUCCUGAGCGUCAGGCACAUGCUAAUUAUGGUGUUCUCUUCCAUACCCUGAGCGUCAGGUGUAUGAGAGAUGCCCUGAGCGUCAGGGGCUUCAUCAUGCCCUGAGCGUCAGGCGCAUGUUUCUUAUUCACAUAAUGACUACACUAGAGAUGCCCUGAGGGUCAGGUGCAUCGACAUGUCCUGAGCGUCAGGUACAUGCUAAUUACUGGUGUUUUUAUUCAUACCCUGAGCGUCAGGUGUAUGAGAGAUGCCCUGAGCGUCAGGGACUUCAUCAUGCCCUGAGCGUCAGGCGCAUGUUUCUUAUUCACAUGAUGACUACACUAGAGAUGCCCUGAGCGUCAGGUGCAUCAACAUGUCCUGAGCGUCAGGCACAUGCUAAUUACUGGUGUUUUUAUUCAUACCCUGAGCGUCAGGUGUAUGAGAGAUGCCCUGAGCAUCAGGGGCUUCAUCAUGCCCUGAGCGUCAGGCGCAUGUUUCUUAUUCACAUGAUGACUACACUAGAGAUGCCCUGAGCGUCAGGCGCAUCGACAUGUCCUGAGCGUCAAGCACAUGCUAAUUACUUGUGUUCUUAUUCUACAAUGACUUUUAUCAUAACAUUACUUGCCUAAACGGCUGACGAAGGAGGCCCAACACACCCACCAAUUAAAUUAGAGGCUCCCUACAGACUUGUUGUUUCUACCUCUGGACUAAAACCCUGACAUAACAUGAGCCAAAAGAAAUGUCAGGGAAACCUUGAGGCAGAAGCAAUUUGUCUGGUUAUGUUGUGCUGCGUGCUCACAUAACAGUUGUGAUGUGGUUGUCUUUAGUUGCAUUGGAGAGGUUCAUGAUAUUUCCAUUUCGACUCGAGUCUAUUGCACCACGAUGAUUGAAUUGGUAUCUCAUCCACCAUUAGUAGGCGUGUUGAUGACAUAAAAUAAAAAAAAAGAAAUAGGUGAAAAAAUCAAGAUUAGUGAUAUUUUGAUUAGUGAUAUUUUGAAUGACACAGCGAAGUUUGCAAAAGUUAAAUGUGAUAAAGAGAAGGAACUGAAUUUUAUCAUCAAUCAAGAGAAAAAAGUUACAGCAGUUCUGAAAACUUUGCUUGACAACGGUUCCUUGGAAAGAAGAUUACAUGAAAAACUUAAACCAACUGGGUCAAAGCUAGGAAUAUUAUAUGGUUUAUGUAAAAUUCACAAAUCUAUUGUUAACGGAAGUCCACCUUUUAGGCCCAUUUUAUCGGCUAUCGAUACACCCACCUACAAUUUGGCUAAGUUUCUUGUACCACUUUUGGCACCCUUAACAGUUAAUGAGUAUACUGUUUUCAGCUCUUUUUCCUUUGCUGAAGAAAUUAGUAAACAGGACAGUAGUUUGUUUAUGGCUAGCCUAGAUGUUGAUUCUUUAUUUACAAAUAUUCCUUUGCAAGAAACUAUAGAUAUUUGUACUGAUUCUUUAUUUUCAGAGACUGACCCAGUCAGUAAUUUUUGCAAAAGUGAUUUUCGUAAACUCCUCUCUCUGGCCACAGAAAAUUCUUAUUUCACGUUUGACGGUCAACUAUUCAAGCAAGUCGAUGGGGUAGCUAUGGGAUCACCUCUUGGCCCCAGCCUUGCUAAUGCUUUUCUUUCGCACCACGAAAAGACUUGGUUGGAUAAUUGUCCAUCAUCCUUUAAGCCAGUGUAUUAUAGAAGAUAUGUUGAUGAUGUUUUUGUGUUGUUCUCAUCUCCUAGCCAUUUGCCUUUAUUUAAGGACUAUCUUAAUAGGCAACACAUCAACAUAUCUUUCACGUCUGAGUGCGAGGCCGAUAAAACUCUUCCGUUUCUUGACGUAUCUGUUUCUCGCAAUGAAUCGAAGUUUGUUACAUCUAUCUAUAGGAAGCCUACAUUUAGUGGUGUUUACACGAAUUACAACAGCUUUUUGCCGGAAGAAUAUAAAACGGGUUUGAUAAUGACAUUGAUUUUUCGGAUAUUUAAGAUUGUUUCUGAUUUUUCUAGGUUUCACUUAGAAAUGCAAGAUCUUAGAAACAUUCUGUUAAGAAAUGGCUACCCGUCAAGUUUGAUUGAUCAAUGCAUUAAGUCUUUUCUCGACAGAAUGUUUCAAGAUAAGAAAGUUUUCAGUACCGUGCCUAAGUUAGAAGUUCUUAUUAUUUUGCCAUAUUUGGGUAAUAUAUCGUUGAAACUGCGAACUCACUUAGUUAAAACAUUUGAUAAGCAUCUUCCGCUUAGGGUUAUUUUCAAAUCGGGUUGUAGAAUUGGCAAUUUUUCCGGUUUAAGGACCGUGUUUCAAAGGCUCUGCGUUCAAAAGUCGUAUAUAAAUAUCAGUGUGAUGGCUGCAAUGCCAUCUAUUAUGGGAAAACUAUGCGACAUUUGAAAGUUAGAGCCUGCGAACACAUGGCCGUUUCUGCCUUGACUGGAAAAUCCGUCAAAUCUAUUAACCCUAGUGCGGUUUUGGAGCAUGUUGUUUUCUGUAAAAAUAGACCAUCUUUAGAUAAUUUUUCUAUUAUCUCCUCCGCAUCUAAUAAUUUUGAUUUGGAAUUGAAGGAAAGCUUGUUAAUCCGUAGGGAUAAGCCAAUUCUUAAUAGAAAUAUUGCAUCAAUGCCAUUAUUUCUAUUUUCAGAUAAUUGACUUGCCCCUACGGAAUAUUUGAUCGUACGAUGAUAUAUCGUACGAUAUUUUGUAUAUAGUGUUGAAUUUGUCAAUUGUAAAUAGCUAUACUUGAAAAUGGCCGUCGUACGGCCGAAACGUCGUUAAAGAGUUGUGUUCGUUUUUAGUUCCAAAAGUCUGAACAUACACACCAAUUCAAUCAACUUAUACCUGUGUUUGCUUUUUUCGCACAAAUAUGGGUCUACCUUGUAGCCAUAUAUUAGCAAUUAAAAAGAAGCAUAAUCAGUCGCUGUAUCACGAAGCACUAGUCAGUAAGAGGUGGCUUUUGUCUGUUUUCAAAAAAAAAUAGUCUAAUCAUGCUGUCGAAAAGCAAACCAACCAAAGGACAAACUCAAUGUUCCACUCUUGAAACCAAAAAAGUAAAAAUGAUGCAGGGAAUGAAAUUGAAAAAAGCACAAGAAGUAAGCUUGGAUAUAGCUUCAUCAAUGUCUCUUGUAGGAACAAGACAUUUUGACUACUACAUGGAAAGAUUAAUAUCCAUUAACGAUGUUAUUAAAAAACAGGAAAAUUUUGGAAUAAACUUAGAAGAAUACGCAGGAUCAAGUGAAACAACAACUGCAACCUCCGAUCGUACUUCAGACCAUUCUUCUUCAACAACGACUCUUAACCAGGAAGCUACGCCAAAGUCUAACCAGUUUACCAUCCGCCUGUGUCUUCUACAUCAAUAGAUGCUGACAUUCGUUGUCUACAAGGCUGACAUGGAUGCUUCACACAAUGACAUAAUCGCAGAAAACCCUACACGUGACGAUAGAGACCAAGUUCUUAUUGAAAUGAACAACAAAGUUACUCAGUUAACUGAAGAACAGAAGACUCACAUCUACAAAACUAACAACUUAAGCCGACAUUUGGCGCAAAUAGUUAGUGGACAAUCUGAGAACUGGAGGAACAAGGUUUUCUUCAAUCUCCCACGAGAAAAAAGCAAUAUAAGAAAAAGCGACUUAAGCUAUUGUUUUCAUUUUGGUGGUUAUAAUGAUCAACAGUUUGAAAUCAUGACCACUUUGUUAUGGCCGAUGAUGCUGUGAAAACAUGCUCAAGCGAUUAUGCAUUCAAUGUUUUAUUACCAGAAGUGCUGUUAAAGAUUACACAGGAUUGCUUCUUUUGUGACCAAGCUCUUGCGGAAACAUACUUAACGAAUGGCUCUGACGUAGAUUUGGAGAAAUUAUUUAGUAGAUGAAAGAAGAAGGUACAUCAUUAAAGGGAUUCCUGCAUUAAAAAUGAUAUUCUAGUGAUACAUUCCUAUCAUGCCAAUAAUAACGAAAGUCGCAUUCUUUUGCUUCGAAAGAUAUGGAAAACAGUCAUACCCUUCAAAUUCUUCUACAGCUUCCCUGUUCCUCCUUCUCCACUUCUGCUUUCCUUUCCGUCUCGAUGUUCAAACUCGCGCCAGUCUAUAUUUUUGUUAUGAUGUCAUAAGAAAGUAUGAACCAAGCUGGCCGAUAAUUCUUGUACCAGAAAAAUGCGUAAAUAAGUUCUUGUGGUAAACGAGCUCAUUUCACAUGUCAAUAAUGGCGGAAUCUUCAACUGUAAAAACGGCAGAGGAUAUUUUACCAUACCUUUUUGAGCCAGUCGUUAUAUCAGAGGGUGGGGAAGAUGAAUGGACUGACUGCAGUAGCGAGGCAAAUGAGAGUGAUGUAGAAAGAGAGAUGG